AACGUAGGAGACAAACGUUAUCCUGAGUUACUGGGCGUAAAGGGCGUGUAGGUGGUUUCGUAAGUCUGGCGUGAAAUAUCUCGGCUUAACCGAGGCAGGUCGUCGGAUACUGCGGAACUGGAGGACGGUAGAGGCGUGUGGAAUUCCGGGUGUAGUGGUGAAAUGCGUAGAGAUCCGGAGGAACACCAGUGGCGAAGGCGACACGCUGGGCCGUACCUGACACUGAUGCGCGACAGCAUGGGGAGCAAACAGG
rnacentral:rRNA from 1 species